UACGUAGGGGGCAAGCGUUGUCCGGAUUUAUUGGGCGUAAAGAGCGUGUAGGCGGCCAGGUAGGUCUGCUGUGAAAACUCGAGGCUUAACCUCGAGCUGUCGGCGGAAACCAUCUGGCUAGAGUCCGGAAGAGGAGAGUGGAAUUCCUGGUGUAGCAGUGAAAUGCGCAGAUAUCAGGAGGAACACCAAUGGCGAAGGCAGCUCGCUGGGACGACACUGACGCUGAGACGCGAAAGCCAGGGGAGCAAACGGG
rnacentral:rRNA from 1 species